CCUCUGGCCGCGCUCCGAGCUGACCGAGGCUGCGACCGGUUCAAGUGAACAGGAGCCUGACUAGGAGCCAUCUUCCAGAUGACAGCCAGAGGAGAGACUUGUAAUUUGGCACUAGCAUGGAUGGAGAUAUUCUGUGAUGUAUGGUUUUGGCAAGUGGAGGCCAAGGAAAAAUUAAGAUAUUUCAGUUUUGGGAACACAGAUUUUUUGACUAGACGAUGUGACUGAGCUACCAUAUCAACAGACAACUAAAUGAUUAAGGUCAGUCCUUCAGUAUUCUUUGGAAGACAGGCUUCAGUUCCUUGCCAUAAUGUGUCAAGGAGGAACAGGUGGAUCUGAGGAACCUCAGGGGCUUAUGCUUCAUGCUCAACCUACUCCUGAAGCUUUCUGCAAGACUGAUGUGAGGUACCUGAGAUUUGAAAAAGGAUUUGCAACUUUUGCUUCCAUUUUUGCAACCUUUCCUUCAACUGUGAACCUGAAUGAGGGUGAACCAUCUAGAAGACUAUGAAAACAUGUGAAAUAAUCUGAGCUGACUGUAAGGGCCUGGUUAGCCAGAAGGAGCCAAUCCAGUCAAACUUGGAUUGACCCUGCCCCUCCCAGAGAAACUUAUUUGCAAACCCAGGAUACAGGGGCAGGCCAGGCUGGAUGGAGACAUCCAAUCAGUGGGGCACGCAUAUAUUUACUAUGGCGAAUUGGAAUUCAAUUGGCCGCCUGUAUUGCCGACUAAGCAUGACUGUACAGUUUUCCCUGUGUGUUGCAAUCUCAUUGGCCACCUGUGUGUGGGCCAGGCUCAACCACUUCUAUAAAGGUUAGCCUGUGAGGCUGGGGGGGGGGGGAGUAGUAGUAGUUGUCGGGAGCGGCACUGCUGUCAGGGUCAUCCUCCUCCUCGUUGUCGUUGCCUCUUUGUGAGAGACGGCCCCGUCUGGUCAGUUUGA